rnacentral:rRNA from 1 species
UACGGGGGGGGCAAGCGUUGUUCGGAAUUACUGGGCGUAAAGGGCUCGUAGGCGGCCAACUAAGUCAGACGUGAAAUCCCUCGGCUUAACCGGGGAACUGCGUCUGAUACUGGAUGGCUUGAGUUUGGGAGAGGGAUGCGGAAUUCCAGGUGUAGCGGUGAAAUGCGUAGAUAAUCUGGAGGAACACCGGUGGCGAAGGCGGCAUCCUGGACCAACACUGACGCUGAGGAGCGAAAGCCAGGGGAGCAAACGGGG